GUCCAUUUUUUUAAAAUGUUCUGUACAUUAUUAAUGUUAAUGAAAAUGAACUAUUACAUUUCGUUAAUCAGACGCAGCUUGUAGUUACUGUUACCUAAUCUUUACCGAUCACUUG